rnacentral:rRNA from 1 species
AACGAACGCUGGCGGCAGGCUUAACACAUGCAAGUCGAGCGCCCCGCAAGGGGAGCGGCAGACGGGUGAGUAACGCGUGGGAAUCUACCCAUCUCUACGGAAUAACGCAUGGAAACGUGUGCUAAUACCGUAUACGUCCUUCGGGAGAAAGAUUUAUCGGAGAUGGAUGAGCCCGCGUUGGAUUAGUUAGUUGGUGGGGUAAAGGCCUACCAAGGCGACGAUCCAUAGCUGGUCUGAGAGGAUGAUCAGCCACACUGGGACUGAGACCCGGCCAGACUCCUACGGGAGGCAGCAGUGGGGAAUAUUGGACAAUGGGCGCAAGCCUGAUCCAGCCAUGCCGCGUGAGUGAUGAAGGCCCUAGGGUUGUAAAGCUCUUUCACCGGUGAAGAUAAUGACGGUAACCGGAGAAGAAGCCCCGGCUAACUUCGUGCCAGCCGCCGCGGUAAAAC